AUAACGGAGAGUUUGAUCCUGGCUCAGGACGAACGCUGGCGGCAUGGAUUAGGCAUGCAAGUCGUACGCGAAUUUAUUUUGAAAAAGUGCUUCGGUGCGAUGGAAGAAUAUAUUUGAGUGGCGAACGGGAGAGUAACGCGUGGGUAAUUUGCCUCUAAGCGGGGGACAACACAGGGAAACCUGUGCUAAUACCGCAUGUGCCGAGUAAUCGGUAAAGGUGGCCUCUAUUUAUAAGCUGCCGCUUAGAGAUAAGCCUGCGUACUAUUAGUUUGUUGGUAAGGUAACGGCUUACCAAGGCUAUGAUAGUUAGGCGGCCUUAACGGGUGACCGCCCUCACUGGGAUUGAGAUACGGCCCAGACUCCUACGGGAGGCAGCAGUCGAGAAUAGUCUACAAUGGACGAAAGUCUGAUAGUGCAAUGCCGCGUGGAUGAAGAAGCAUUUCGGUGUGUAAAAUCCUUUU
rnacentral:rRNA from 1 species